AACGCACAUUGCGCCCUGUGGUAUUCCGCAGGGCAUGCCUGUUCGAGCGUCAUUUCAACCCUCAAGCCCUGCUUGGUGUUGGGCCUGGCCCGUCGCGGCCGGCCCUAAAGUCAGUGGCGGCGCCGUGUGGCUCUAAGCGUAGUAAUGCUCUCGCUCCAGGGUCCCGCGGCAGCUUGCCAGCAACCCCCCACUUCAAUGGUUGACCUCGGAUCAGGUAGGGAUACCCGCUGAACUUAA
rnacentral:misc_RNA from 1 species